rnacentral:lncRNA from 1 species
ACGUGAGCCAGAGGAGCCGCCCCACCGGAGAGCCCCACCGCCGGUAAGUUUCGGUUUUCUGUGUUUUUUCGGCCCACCGAGGGCCCUAAGUGUGUUUUCUCACAGGAACCGAUUCAAGUUUGGCUGAAUUUGGCCGAAAACGGCCAACCCGAGGCAGAUCACCGCCGCGAGCAGCGGCUCUGUCGCCAAAGCACGGCGGAGCCGCCGUGCCGGAAUUCUGAAAUUGGCCGAUUAGGCCUUGGGUCUGAUUUUUGGGUUAUUUGGGACAUGUGUAGGUACCGUAAGCGCGUUUCAGUUCCCGAAAAAAAUUCAGGAAAUCCAGGGACCGCCCGUAGGCGCAGUGAAAAUUUAGUUUUCGGCGUCAAAUCAAGUAAAGACCCCUCACUCUAU